ACGUGGCUCCAGUCAACCGGAACACGCGUCAUGUCGUACAGUUGGAAGAUGAUUAAAGCAUCACACAGGUCACUAAACCAAGAGCAAAACAAUGGGUUUAAGCAUAAAAGCACAGAUUGACAAUCAAAAAAGUGCAACGAAAAAAAUGCUUUUCAGUGAGUAGAAGCAGUAUAGACAACUCUUCAAGCAGAAAUAUGAAAACAUGCAGGCAGAGAAUGGAGAAGGACUACAGAUAGUAUUGGUGAAAACCAAACAUACAGAAAAGCUGUCAGACAACACCAGAGACAACACCUAUGUUAACAUCUCUUAGCAGACUGAUACAUGUAUAUAGUGCUCUUCUCCUUGGUCUAUCAUUCCAGCACCUGCAGGAUAUGAACUACUUGAGCUAUAGAUGUCUUGAUGAUUGUUUAACAGCAACUCAUGAAUUAUCUUCCAUGGAUGUAUCUUACUCCCUUUAGAAUUUCUACUCUUUCUUUGAUCUCAACAACAGCCUGAGUCAAUGGGUUCAUUCCUCUAUUAUUUAUUGUAAAGUUAGUUCUUUUUAUUUUAAUCUUCCUGACUCUCUACUGGGCAUCACAUGAUACCUGUAUUGGCAGAACCUGAAUAAUUCUCUCUUCACUUCUCCAUGCUACUCACAGUCUUCCAAAUCCCUAACAUACAACUUCCCAAUAGUUUCUUUACCAAGUAAAGACUCCUAAUAUUUAA